AACUUUAUAACGGCGUAAAGCGUGGUAACAUGCUAUCCAAGUAACUAAGAUUAAAAAGCAACUGAGCCGUCGCAAGCCCAUGAUGCGUCAUAAGGCCUCCAUUCAAAGAAGAUCUUAGACUAACGAUUAAUUGAAAUCCACGAAAGCCAGGGCCCAAACUGGGAUUAGAUACCCCACUAUGCCUGGCCCUAAAUCUUGAUGCUCGAUCUUACCGGAGCAUCCGCCCGAGAACUACGAGCGCAAACGCUUAAAACUCUAAGGACUUGGCGGUGUCCCAAACCCACCUAGAGGAGCCUGUUCUGUAAUCGAUGAUCCACGAUAGACCUGACCAUUUCUUGCCAAAAAUCAGCCUAUAUACCGCCGUCGCCAGCCCACCCAACAUGAAGGACCAACAGU
rnacentral:rRNA from 1 species